rnacentral:lncRNA from 1 species
AUGAUCCCUGGAGAGCCAAGAGGCUAUAAAGCAUUCUCAAGGGAUCAAGGCCCUGCAGAGGGAAAGAUGAUAACCUGCAAUCUGAAGGCAGCUGAAAGAGAGUGCAUGCUUUAUCCAGUUGUAUGCUCUGUUGAAAGCAGAGGUGACACCUGCAGAAGAAAAUUAGCUGGAUGCACUUUCAUCACAGAGAAAUGCCAUUAUCUUUUUUUAGUUCCUCUGACAUUUUAUGCAGAUGUGUGCAGUGUCACCUUACAUCAGACUUCCUCUCUGUUAGGAAGCAUAUGA